AGAGUGAAAUGCAGCCAAGGAUGACUUGCCGAAGGCUUAAUAUUAUUAUCGGAAACCAUGAAUUUCCGAUGAUAAUUAUUCUUUCCGGCAAGUUGUCCUUGGCUACAUUUGGUUCUCU
rfam:Spinacia oleracea cultivar SynViroflay scaffold13946.con0005.1, whole genome shotgun sequence.